GACGAACGCUGGCGGCGUGCCUAAUACAUGCAAGUAGGACGCAGUUGCGAACGCGUGAGUAACGCGUAGGUAACUCCCUAUUAGAGGGGGAUAACUAUUGGAAACGUUAGCUAAUACCGCAUACUAGUAGAUGGACCUGCGUUGUAUUAGCUAGUAGGUAGGGUAAGUGCCUACCUAGGCGACGAUACAUAGCCGACCUGGUGGGGUGGUCGGCCACACUGGGAGUGAGACGCGGCCGAGACUCCUACGGGAAGAAGCAGUAGGGAAUCUUAGGGAAUGGGGGAAGACCGGACCGAGCGACACGGCGGGAGUGAAGAAGGUUUUCGGAUGGUAGAGCUCUGUUGUUAAGGGAGCGGUACUUAACCAGAAAGGGACGGCUAACUACGUGCCAGCAGCCGCGGUAAUUC
rnacentral:rRNA from 1 species